UGAGGAAUAUUGGUCAAUGGAUGAAAAUCUGAACCAGCCAAGUAGCGUGCAGGAUGACGGCCCUAUGGGUUGUAAACUGCUUUUAUGUGAGAAUAAAGUUAGGUAUGUAUACUUAUUUGCAUGUAUCACAUGAAUAAGGACCGGCUAAUUCCGUGCCAGCAGCCGCGGUAAUACGGAAGGUCCAGGCGUUAUCCGGAUUUAUUGGGUUUAAAGGGUGCGUAGGCCGUUUGAUAAGCGUGCUGUGAAAUAUAGUGGCUCAACCUCUAUCGUGCAGCGCGAACUGUCGAACUUGAGUGCGUAGUAGGUAGGCGGAAUUCGUGGUGUAGCGGUGAAAUGCUUAGAUAUCACGAAGAACUCCGAUUGCGAAGGCAGCUUACCGUAACGUUACUGACGCUUAAGCACGAAGGUGCGGGUAUCGAACAGGAUUAGAUACCCUGGUAGUCCGCACAGUAAACGAUGGAUGCUCGCUGUUGGCCUUUAUGGUCAGUGGCUUAGCGAAAGCGUUAAGCAUCCCACCUGGGGAGUACGCCGGCAACGGUG
rnacentral:rRNA from 1 species